CCUACGGGAGGCAGCAGUGGGGAAUAUUGCGCAAUGGGCGAACGCCUGACGCAGCGACGCCGCGUGAGGGAUGAAAGUCUUCGGAUCGUAAACCUCUGUCAGCAGGGAAGAACGGUCACUGUGCUAAUCAGCAGUGAAUUGACGGUACCUGCAAAGGAAGCACCGGCUAACUCCGUGCCAGCAGCCGCGGUAAUACGGAGGGUGCGAGCGUUAAUCGGAAGUACUGGGCGUAAAGCGCUCGUAGGCGGUAUGUCAAGUCAAGGGUGAAAUCCCCGCGCUCAACGUGGGAACUGCCUUUUAAACUGGCAAACGGGAUUGUGUGAGAGGAUAGUGGAAUUCCAGGUGUAGGAGUGAACUCCGUAGAUAUCUGGAGGAACAUCAGUGGCGAAGGCGACUAUCUGGCACAUAACUGACGCUGAGGAGUGAGAGCGUGGGUAGCAAACAGGAUUAGAUACCCCAGUAGUC
rnacentral:rRNA from 1 species